rnacentral:rRNA from 1 species
CAAUAGCGUAUAUUAAAGUUGUUGCAGUUAGAACGCUCGUAGUCGGAUUUCGGGGCGGGCCGACCGGUCUGCCGAUGGGUAUGCACUGGUCGGCGCGUCCUUCCUUCCGGAGACCGUCCCUACUCUUAACUGAGCGGGGGCGGGAGACGGGACUUUUACUUUGAAAAAAUCAGAGUGUUUCAAGCAGGCAGCUCGCUCUUGCAUGGAUUAGCAUGGGAUAAUGAAAUAGGACUUAGGUGCUAUUUUGUUGGUUUCGAACACCGAAGUAAUGAUGAGAAGGGACAGUCAGGGGCACUCGUAUUCCGCCGAGAGAGGUGAAAUUCUCAGACCAGCGGAAGACGAACCACUGCGAAANCANNNGCCAGGGAUGUUUUCACNGA